AAAAGACACCAUUGAUAAUUGCAUCAAAUAUAUGGAAUACUUAGGCCUAUAGCUGACAUAAAAUAUGUAAGAGUUGUACGGAGAAAAUUUUAAAACUUAUUUGAGAGAUGUUUAAAAGGAUAUAAAUAGAUAGAGAAACUGCCAUCUCUCUGUGGUUUGGAAGAUUUGUUAUUAUAAUCGCAUUAAUAGUGUGGGAAAUACUAACUGAUACCACAAUGAGAUACCAUUAUUAACCUUCCACACUGGCAAAAAUUAAAAAGCUUGACAAUAUCAAGUUUUGGUGAAGAUAUGAAGUAACAGAAACUCUCAUGUAUGGCUGAGAGGAGUAUAAAUUGGUACAACCAUUUAAAAAUUAUUUGGCAUUUACUUAUUAAAAGUUGAAGAUACUAGAACCUAGAAGCCUGCAAUUCAACUCUUCCUUCCUUCACAGCUGAACUGGUUCUGCAGAGAAUUAAGCCCUAAUGCCUCAGGCAGAGAUUCUCGAAGUGUGCCCUAUGGCCUAGCAGCUUCAGGGGCAUCUAGGAACUUGUCAGAAAUGCAAAAUACAGGGCCCCACCCCAGACCUACUGAAUCAGAAUCUCUGGGUGUGAGGCCUAGUAACACGUGUUUCAACAAACCCUCUCCAUGAUUCUGCCUUCAAGUUUGAGAACCUACUGCACUGAGGCAUCUGACAUAUGAAAUAAGCUAACUCUGUCAUACAUGUCUAGGAUGGCACUAGUUACACACCAUUCUUGAAAGAACUGAGAAAACAGUUAUUCAAAUCACUUCCGUUCUGUGGUUCAGAUGAGGGGCCAGUUGAAAAACACUACAGAAAUCUUAGCUGAUGUGCACUGCUGUUCAUAAAACCCUCUUCCAUAGUAGCCCCAAACUGGAAACAUCCCUAAUGUAUGUUCACCGAAGACGGGUAAAUUUUGGCCCCCUCUAUGCUGUGUAACACUAC
rnacentral:lncRNA from 1 species